rnacentral:lncRNA from 13 species
GAAAUGUAGGCUAAAAGACCUCACAUCAAUGCAUUGUGCGAAUUGACAUUGUGAUUUUUGUUACCUGAGACAUUCGCAGGAAGUCCAGGGGCAGGCGGGAUUUGAAGGUAAAUAUCAGGGGUGGAGCUUUCGGUGCUUGGUAGAUCGAUGCCUUCUGAACUUAAAGGCAAAGUAAUAAACUAAACAUAAAUCGCCGGUUGAUGCUUCAGAGAGCCGUUCGCCUCCGUUAUUUCAGCUCCUCCAGCAGAAGCUGCUUCCUCCUGUCUUCCAGAUGCUGCUGACCAAGUUGUCCACCAUCUGACAGGCAGACAGGCAGUGGCCAGGAUGGUGUGUAGAUUUUUUUUCCUGUGACCUGUUCAGACUCAUCUACAUGCCUGCCUGUCACUGUGGGUGCGUUGUUGGCCAGGGACCUGCCCACAUCUCCAAGACAGCCAGAGAAAGGGUGAAUGGAGAGAGAAAGCAGGAGGAGAGAAUACGAAGAUCGCAUUGAAAAUCUGUCUGACCACUCCAGGAGGUGUUCAGGGAUACAUUGUAUGCAGAUUUCUCCUCAGUCUGGAUACAAUCCUUCUACCGAAAGUGCAUACAGUGGGCGACAUCAUCAGCACUCCUUUCAUUAUAACGUUGGCGGAAAUACUUCCUAGCGUGUGAUGUGUUUGCUGGCCUCAAAUGCUAGCCAGCCAGCUAAUAUUUAGAUAAUUUUUUUGGUUUGGCUAGAGUUAUGCUAACCUGUUUGCAAUCCCUUUAGCGUAGCUUGCUAGCUAACUAUAGAGGUUAGCUGGCUAGUUAGCUACAGUAGUUAGCUACUGCCAUCAGUUGUUGUUGUGUUAUCAUAUUUUGCCUAUUCCACUGUUUGUAGAAUGUAUACUGGCAUUUAAAUAUAGCGUGGGAAAAGGGAAUCCUGACACACUGCGGACAUGGUAGACACAUUUAAAUGUAGGUGUAGAUGUAUGACAUGUUUGGAAUUCCAUGAUCAGAAUAGAAAAGCUGCAUGAACUGUCAAGUCUAGACACGGCCAGGGUAGACACUUUGGCCUAACCUCCUCAGCUUCUGCCACACAAGAAGAGAAGGAUAGAAAAGAGCUGUAAGCUUUGAGCUAUCCUUAAAAGCCCAACGUCUCUUUUGUCUUAGUAGACAUGUGCUGUGCUGAUGUUGACAUGCUUUUCCAAACACACAAUGCUUUGUUGCCCAUAUUCACUAUCUAAUAUUAUUUUUUACUAUUAAAUAACUACUAUUUCUUCC